UACGUAGGGUGCAAGCGUUGUCCGGAAUUAUUGGGCGUAAAGAGCUCGUAGGCGGUCUGUCGCGUCUGCUGUGAAAAACUCAGGGCUUAACCCCUGAGCUUGCAGUGGGUACGGGCAGACUAGAGUGCGGUAGGGGGAGACUGGAAUUCCUGGUGUAGCGGUGAAAUGCGCAGAUAUCAGGGAGGAACACCGGUGGCGAAAGGCGG
rnacentral:rRNA from 1 species